UGGAUGAACGCUAGCUACAGGCUUAACACAUGCAAGUCGAGGGGCAGCAUUUUAGUUUGCUUGCAAACUGAAGAUGGCGACCGGCGCACGGGUGAGUAACACGUAUCCAACCUGCCGAUAACUCCGGAAUAGCCUUUCGAAAGAAAGAUUAAUACCGGAUAGCAUACGAAUAUCGCAUGAUAUUUUUAUUAAAGAAUUUCGGUUAUCGAUGGGGAUGCGUUCCAUUAGUUUGUUGGCGGGGUAACGGCCCACCAAGACUACGAUGGAUAGGGGUUCUGAGAGGAAGGUCCCCCACAUUGGAACUGAGACACGGUCCAAACUCCUACGGGAGGCAGCAGUGAGGAAUAUUGGUCAAUGGGCGAGAGCCUGAACCAGCCAAGUAGCGUGAAGGAUGAAGGCUCUAUGGGUCGUAAACUUCUUUUAUAUGGGAAUAAAGUUUUCCACGUGUGGAAUUUUGUAUGUACCAUAUGAAUAAGGAUCGGCUAACUCCGUGCCAGCAGCCGCGGUAAUACGGAGGAUCCGAGCGUUAUCCGGAUUUAUUGGGUUUAAAGGGAGCGUAGGUGGAUUGUUAAGUCAGUUGUGAAAGUUUGCGGCUCAACCGUAAAAUUGCAGUUGAAACUGGCAGUCUUGAGUACAGUAGAGGUGGGCGGAAUUCGUGGUGUAGCGGUGAAAUGCUUAGAUAUCACGAAGAACUCCGAUUGCGAAGGCAGCUCACUAGACUGUCACUGACACUGAUGCUCGAAAGUGUGGGUAUCAAACAGGAUUAGAUACCCUGGUAGUCCACACAGUAAACGAUGAAUACUCGCUGUUUGCGAUAUACAGUAAGCGGCCAAGCGAAAGCAUUAAGUAUUCCACCUGGGGAGUACGCCGGCAACGGUGAAACUCAAAGGAAUUGACGGGGGCCCGCACAAGCGGAGGAACAUGUGGUUUAAUUCGAUGAUACGCGAGGAACCUUACCCGGGCUUAAAUUGCAACAGAAUAUAUUGGAAACAGUAUAGCCGUAAGGCUGUUGUGAAGGUGCUGCAUGGUUGUCGUCAGCUCGUGCCGUGAGGUGUCGGCUUAAGUGCCAUAACGAGCGCAACCCUUAUCUUUAGUUACUAACAGGUCAUGCUGAGGACUCUAGAGAGACUGCCGUCGUAAGAUGUGAGGAAGGUGGGGAUGACGUCAAAUCAGCACGGCCCUUACGUCCGGGGCUACACACGUGUUACAAUGGGGGGUACAGAAGGCGGCUACCUGGUGACAGGAUGCUAAUCCCAAAAACCUCUCUCAGUUCGGAUCGAAGUCUGCAACCCGACUUCGUGAAGCUGGAUUCGCUAGUAAUCGCGCAUCAGCCAUGGCGCGGUGAAUACGUUCCCGGGCCUUGUACACACCGCCCGUCAAGCCAUGAAAGCCGGGGGUACCUGAAGUACGUAACCGCAAGGAGCGUCCUAGGGUAAAACUGGU
rnacentral:rRNA from 1 species